GUUACUGUCCCUGCCAUGCGGCUUCUUGCAUGUUCAGAGGCAUUGGAAGAUGCAUGUUUGUAACUUGCUAUCCCUUUGUGCAGUGCAUGGGUUUGGAUGAACAUAGACAUCGCCACCAUCACCAUGGCAAGCACUUUGAUUGAUUGUUUGAGGGGCUUUAACAUGAACAUUUGAGCUCCUUCUUCCAAACACCUGCAUCAAAACAGAGCAGAACAUCCACCAUUAAGAUAUUUACUGGUUAUAUAUUAAUAAAUAGAGAUUUUUGAUAUUUAGUGUUGAUGAGAAUUACUGGUUAAUCCGUGUUGGUAUGUUCUCCGAUGACAUGAUCACUACCGGAACCUCCUUCAUGCUAGAUGAUUCCUAUUUCCAAAGAAAAAUAACAUAUUGUAAUGAUUAAUCUAUACUUACAUAUAAUGAGAACAUCUAAAUCAGUAUAUCUA